UAAUACCGGAUAGAUCAAAGAAACUGGAAUGUUCUCUGAUCGAAAGCUCCGGCGCCCAAGGAUGGGUCUGCGGCCUAUCAGGUAGUAGUGGGUGUAACGUACCUACUAGCCUACGACGGGUAAGGGUUGUGAGAGCAAGAGCCCUGAGAUGGAUUCUGAGACAUGAAUCCAGGCCCUACGGGGUGCAGCAGGCGCGAAAACUUUACACUGCGGGAAACCGCGAUAAGGGGACCCCGAGUGCCAGCACCUAGUGCUGGCUGUCCAGCUGUUCAAAUAACGGUUGUUAGCAAGGGCCGGGCAAGACCGGUGCCAGCCGCCGCGGUAACACCGGCGGCCCGAGUGGUAGCCGUUAUUAUUGGGUUUAAAGGGUCCGUAGCCGGCCUAUUAAGUCUCUUGGGAAAUCUGGCGACUCAAUCGUCAGGCGUUC
rnacentral:rRNA from 1 species